GCGCUCGUAGCUCAGUCGGACAGAGCAGCGGUUUCCGGUACCGCAGGCCGGGGGUUCGAAUCCUCCCGAGCGCACGA
rnacentral:tRNA from 1 species